GGUGAGCGACCUCAGGGCCAUCAUGGCCCUCUUGUUUAGCUACAGUCAUAGUGAUGUUGCAUUUGCCAUUGCCUUUGUCUUUGCCAUCUGCAGUGAUCUGUGAACAAAUCAUUUUUUAAUUCUUAAUAGAAUGCCUUGGACAUGACUACCAUAUUAUUAAGAACAGCCAUAAUAUGACUUUUUGUUGAAAAAUUGAUGAAUUCUGCUUGAUUUUAAGCACGACUAUAAGCAGAAUAAUUGAGCUAAUGCAGUCACGCAUUUGUCGGUGUUGGUGUCGGCGUCGGCAUCCCUGUGGUUAAGUUUUUGCGUACAAGCUGGUAUCUCCAUAACUACUGAAGAGAAUGGAUUCAAACUUCACACACUUGUUCCCUGUGAUUAUCUUACAUGAUUGGCACAAGUCCAAUAACUGUGAUUUGGUUUUUUGCAUAAUUCUGCCCCUUUUUGACUUAGAAAUUCUUGGUUAAGUUUUUGCGUGCAAGCUGGUAUCUCCAUAACUACUGAAGGGAAUGGAUUGAAACUUCACACACUUGUUCCCUGUGAUUAUCUUACAUGAUUGGCACAAGUCCCAUAACUCUGAUUGCUUUUUUACAUAAUUAUAAGAGUGUGAGAAACAGCGAAUGUAUGUAAAAAAAUUAGAUCGCGAUCCACGAUUCCUGGGCUUACGAAUAUUCAAACUCGAUUUUUCACUUUGAUUUGUGAUUAUCCGAGUACUCGGAUACUCGCCCCAGCCCUAUUCCAAUUGGCCCCUCUUAGGGGCCGCUUAAGCUAAAAAUAGAAAUACCUUUAAAUGUUUAUUUCUACAGAACUAAUGGAUUGAUGAUCCCCAAACUUUGUCUGUAGCAUUCCACCCCAAAAUCGGCAACAAUUUUUUAAAUGUUCUGCCACCGCUAAAUUGCCUAUACUAUAUUGUUAAUACUUCUUUAGAAAUUUAUAGUGUGUAAUAACAUAAUAUUAUAAACUUACAUAUCUACUGUGGUUAAAUUAGUGGUCUACAAUAUUUUGACCUGUUGACUAGUACUUUUAUUGACUGCCAUAAAGUUGUCUCGAACAUCAAAUUCCUACUGAAAUAAUUGAUAGAUGAUCACCAAACUUUGUAGCAUUCUUAGGUAGUUUUUUUAUCAAGUUUGCUCAUAUUAAUUUGAUUAGCCCCGUUUAAGCUAAAGCUUAAAUGCCCCAGGUCAUGGCAUUUCUUCAAAUUAUUGGUUAAACAUAUUCUAUACUUAAAAUUUAAUAUUGGGAAAUAUUGACAUUCCAACACUGAAAAGCAGUUGUUUCUGGUCAGCGACUCAGGGCCGUCAUGGCCCUCUUGUUUGAGUUAUUGCCCUUUGUUAAUUUUCUCGUCCUGGCCAUUUCUCCUAAACUAUAUUGUUCACAAGGCGACACAUCCAACUCGCAUUUUUUUUAAGUUCUAGUUUAUUCAAAUAGCCAAUUGUGCACUUAAAAUUUGUUAAAUUUAAAACAAAAUUUUAUUUCGUUCAAACAAAUAAAUUUUCGUCUAAAAUGAGAUAACUUCCGCCGUGCAUGCGCAUCAGUGUGCUUCCGUCCGCCUCGGCGAUAACACGUUUUUGUAGUUGUGCGAAGCGCAAUUAAAUGCUAUAGUUUAGAUUUUCAAUGCGCAUAGCGUAUUGUUAACUGUAAUAAGUUUAAAGAAGGUUUUUUCAAUUACGCGUGGCGUAAUUUUACGAGUGACAAUUGAGAUAAAGUUGUUUUUAUAACCAAAUUGUGCACCGCCCGUAGGGUGGUGGGGUAUUGCUACUUCAGUGUUUAACAGUUUAAAUUAGAUUGUGAUAUAAAAAAUGGCGACUUUGUCGCAAGACAUAUAUUGUGGUUGCUUGGCAACACUGAUUGAUUUUUAGCUUGACUUUUCGAUUAAAAUAAGUAGAGCUUUUGUAGUCACCCGAGCGUCGGUGUGGACGUAACUACUUAUGUUGAAGUUUUUAUGAUAUACCUCUAAUAUUUUCAAAGUCCAUUGACAUAUGGCUUUGAAACUUUGCACAAUUGUUCACCACCAUGACCCCAACCUGUAUACAGGAGGAGGUGACUGUAUCAAGCAUUUUGGCAGAAUUAUGCCCCUUUUUAGCUCACCUGUCACAAAGUGACAGGGUGAGCUUUUGUGAUCGCUUUUCGUCCGGCGUCCGUCGUCAUCCGUCCGUAAACUUUUGCUUUAAAUGAGUCAUCUCCUCAUAAACCACUGAGCCAAUUUCAUCCAAACUUAAUAGGAAUGUUCCUUUGGUGGUCACCUUUAAAAAUUGUUCAAAGAAUUUAAUUCCAUGCAGAACUCUGGUUGCCAUGGCAACCGAAAGAAAAAUCUUUAAAUAUCUUCUUUUAAACAACCCUAAGAGCUAGAGCUUAGAUAUUUGGCAUGAAACAUCUUCUAGUAAGUGUCUACCAAGUUUGUUCAAAUAAAAGCCCUGGGGUCAAAAUUGGCCCCGCCCCGGGGGGUCAUUGAUUUUCCCUAUAUGCAUAUAGUAAAAACUUAAAAAAUCUUCUUUUAAACAACCCUAAGAGCUAGAGCUUAGAUAUUUGGCAUGAAACAUCUUCUAGUGAGUGUCUACCAAGUUUGUUCAAAUAAAAGCCCUGGGGUCAAAAUUGGCCCCGCCCCGGGGGGUCAUUGAUUUUCCCUAUAUGCAUAUAGUAAAAACUUAAAAAAUCUUCUUUUAAAGAACCCAAAGAGCUAGAGCUAAGAUAUUUAGCAUGAAACAUCUUCUAAUGAGUGUCUACCAAGUUUGUUCAAAUAAAAGCCCUGGGGUCAAAUUGGCCCUGCCCCAGGGGGGUCAUAGAUUUUUCCUAUAUGCAUAUAGUAAAAACUUAAAAAAUCUUCUUUUAAAGAACCCAAAGAGCUAGAGCUAAGAUAUUUGGCAUGAAAAAUCUUCUAGUGAGUGUCUACCAAGUUUGUUCAAAUAAAAGCCCUGGGGUCAAAAUUAGCCCCGCCCCGGGGGGUCAUUGAUUUUCCCUAUAUGCAUAUAGUGAAAACUUAAAAAGUCUUCUUUUAAAGAACCGUUAGAGCUAGAGCUUAAAUAUUUGGCAUGAAACAUCUUCUAGUGAAUGUCUACCAAGUAUGUUCAAAUAAAAGCCCUGGGGUCAAAAUUGGCCCCGCCCCAGGGGGUCAUUGAUUUUCCCUAUAUGCAUAUAGUAAAAACUUAAAAAAUCUUCUUUUAAAGAACUCAAAGAGCUAGAGCUAAGAUAUUUAGCAUGAAACAUGUUCUAAUGGGUGUCUACCAAGUAUGUUCAAAUAAAAGCCCUGGGGUCAAAACUGGCCCCGCCCCGGGGGGUCAUUGAUUUUCCUUAUAUAUGUGUAUAGCAAAAACUUUAAAAUCUUCUUUGAAAAAACCCAAAUAGCUAGAGUUUAGAUAUUAAGCAUGAAACAUCUUUGAGUAAAUAUCUACAAAGUUUGUUCAAAUAAAAGCCUGGGGGUCAAAACUGGCCCUGCCCCAGGGGUGUCAUUGUUUUUAACUAUAUGUGUAUAGUAAAAACUUAAAAAAUCUUCUUUUAAAAAACCCAAUGAGCUAGAACUUAGAUGUUUAGCAUGAAACAUAGAGCAUAUAGCGUUGCACUUGUCCGUCCGUCUGUCCGUCCGCACUACCGAAAAGGGAUAGGGGGCCAUCUAACUGUAAACAGAACAAAAGAGAACAUUAUAGAGUUCAUUCCGUAACAAUAGAGUAAGGGGCCAUUGGCCCUCUAUUAAACAAUAGAAAAUAACAAAAGAAAUGGCCCCUUAUUCCAUUUCGGCUGGACGUCAGUCCGUCUGUCCGUACGUCCCAAAAUCUUGUGAACGCAACUCCUCUUAAACCGGAUGGCAGAUUUUGCUUAAACUUCCAGGGAUGAACAACCUUAAUGUGUAGAUGGUAGUAAAGGAAGGAAUUUUUGCUGCGACCAAAUUUAACAGAAUUAUGGCCCUUUGUUGAUUUUUAUGCCACCGCAGCAUCUGCGAUGCGGUGGCAUAUAGCGAUUCACCUGUGUGUGUGUGUUUGUUUGUGUGUGUGUGUGUGUUAUAUAGAUUAUAUAGUGAACUUAAAAAAUCUUCUUGUGAAAAACCACUUGUCCAAUUUCAACCAAACUUAGCAGGAUUGAUCCUUGGGUGAAGGGCUUCCAAAGUUGUUCAAAGAAUUUAAUUCCAUUCAGAAAUCUGGUUGCCAUGGCAACCAAAAGGAAUUAUAAGAAUAAAUUUAAAAAAUCUUCUUGUAAAGACCCAAAAGGCCUAAAGCUUAGAUAUUUUGCAUUAGACAUUGUCUGGUAGACCUCUACCAAGAUUGUUCAAAUUAUAGCCCUGGGGUCAAAAUUGGCCCCGCCCCGGGGGUCAUUGAUUUACACUAUAUGUACAUUUAGUAAAAACUUAAAAUACCUUCUUGUAAAGACCCAUAGGCCUAGAGCUUAGAUAUCUUGCAUAAGGCAUUGUCUGGUAGACUCUUACCAAGAUUGUUCAAAUUAUAGCCCUGGGGUCAAAAUCAGCCCCGCCCAGGGGGUCAUUGAUUUUCACUAUAUGUACAUAUAGUAAAACUUAAAAUACCUUCUCGUAAAGACCCAAAAGGCCUAGAGCUUUGAUAUUUUGCAUAAGGCAUUGUCUGCUAGACCUCUACCCAGAUUGUUCAAAUUAUAGUCCUGGGGUCAAAAUCGGCCCUGCCCUGGGGGUCAUUGAUUUACACUAUAUGUACAUAUAGUAAAAACUUAAAAUACCUUCUUGUAAAGACCCAAAAGGCCUAGAGCUUAGAUAUCUUGCAUAAGGCAUUGUCUGCUAGACCUCUACCCAGAUUGUUCAAAUUAUAGUCCUGGGGUCAAAACCGGCCCUGCCAUUGGGGUCAUUGAUUUUCCUCAUUUUUACAGUAAAAACUUAUAGUAAAAACUUUAAAAAAAUUCUUCUAGCAAUUGACAAAUGCUAGAGGUUAGAUAUUUUGCAUGAAACAUUGUGAAGUGAACCUCUAGCAAGAUUGUUCAAAUAAUAGCCCUGGGAUCAAAAUUGCCCCCGCCCCGGGGUCAUUGAUUUUCAAUAUAUACAUAUAGUAAAAAAUCAAAAAAUCUAAUUGUCUGAAGGUACAAGGCUUAGAGCUUUAAUAUUUGUUAAAUUAUAUCAUCUAUAGGUACUCUACCAAAGUUGUUCAAAUUAAAUUGCCUCUAGUGUCAAAAUUAAAAGUGAACUUUGAUAUCAGCUGACCUAGAUUUUGACAAAGUGUAUUACAUGUUGUCCUUUGAUGCAAUCAUGAAAUUUAGGCUGUGUGAAAUAGGACCUUCACCACCAAAUUCACUAGACUCAAGUGCAUUGAUAUAUUCCUACUCUGAUCUUUUAUUGAGUUAACAAUAGAUUUAACCACUAAUCUGAUACUAAGAAUUAGAUAGGUCACUCGGGGAUCUAUGCAUUAUGACAAUCUUCAAUUGUAUAGAAACAAAAAAAAUCUGUUCCUACACUACUAUUUAGUGUUGUAUUAAUGCGGUGGCAUAGCAUUUUUAGCUCGACUAUUCAAAGAAUAUGAGAGCUAUUGUAGUCGCCCCGGCGUCGGCGUCGGCGUCAGUGUCAGCGUCGGCAUCUGCGUUGGUUAAAGUUUUUUGUAAAGUCAAAUAUCUCAAUUAUUACUUGAGAUAUUUAAUUGAAACUUACAAUACUUAUUUAUAGUAACAAGGUACAUCAGAUUGACAAGUUGGAUAACUCUGCCUACAAUAUUGACAGAAUUAUGCCCCUUUUUAACUUAAAAAAUUUUGGUUAAAGUUUUUUGUAAAGUCAAAUAUCUCAAUUAUUGCUUGAGAUAUUCAAUUGAAACUUACAAUACUUAUUUAUAGUAACAAGGUACAUCAGAUUGACAAGUUGGAUAACUCUGCCUACAAUAUUGACAGAAUUAUGCCCCUUUUUAACUUAGAAAUUUUGGUUAAAGUAUUUUGUAAAGUCAAAUAUCUCAAUUAUUGCUUGAGAUAUUCAAUUGAAACUUACCAUACUUAUUUAUAGUAACAAGGUACAUCAGAUUGACAAGUUGGAUAACUCUGCCUACAAUAUUGACAGAAUUAUGCCCCUUUGGAACUUAGAAAUUUUGGUUAAAGUUUUUUUGUAAAGUCAAAUAUCUCAAUUAUUGCUUGAGAUAUUCAAUUGAAAUUUUAAAAUACUUUUUUAUAAUAACAAUGUACAUCAGUUUGCAAAAUUGCAUAACUCUGCCUGCAAUAUUUGCAGAAUUAUUAACUUAGAAAUUUGGGUUAAAGGUUAAAGGUCUCUAAAGAUAUUUACUUGAAACUUUACACAUGCACUAAGGGUCAUAAUUGGAGGGUCAUAAUUGUAUGUCAUUGACCAAGUUCCAUAACUCUAUCUUGCAUAAAGGCUGAUUCAUAUCCCCUUUUCUACUUAGUCUCUUGGUUAAUGUUUACAUGCAAGUUUUACAUAUCUCAAUAACUAUUAAAGAUAUUUAUUUAAAACUUCACAUAUGCAUUCAGGGUCAUAAUUGUAGGUCACUGACAAAGAUCCAUAAUUCUAUCUUGCAUUUAGGCUGAUUUUUCUCCCCUUUUUAGUCCCCUACCGGUUUACCGGAGGGGACUUUAGGUUUACCCUCCGUCCGUCUGUCAGUCCGUCUGUCAGUCCGUCCGUCCACAAAACUGGAUCCCGCGAUAACUUGAAAAGUACUGAAAAUAUUUUUAUGAAACUUGGUAUAUGGAUAGAUGGCAGUAUGGAGAUUAUGCACGUCUUUUUCUUUUCUUCCUAUGUUGAAAAUUCUGGUUGCUAUGGCAACAAAUAGGCUGAAAAUAUGGCAAAUUUUACACAUAAACUGAAUCCAGUGAUAACGCAAAAAGAACUGGAAAUAUUUUUAUGAAACUUGACAUAUGGGUAGAUGGCAGUCUUGAGAUAAUGCACAUCUUUUUCUUUUCUUCCUAUGUUGAAAAUUCUGGUUGCUAUGGCAACAAAUAUGCUGAAAAUAUGGCAAAUUUUACACAUAAACUGGAUCCAGUGAUAACGCAAAAAGUACUGGAAAUAUUUUUAUGAAACUUGACAUAUGGGUAGAUGGCAGUCUUGAGAUUAUGCACGUCUUUUUCUUUUCUUCCUAUGUUGAAAAUUCUGGUUGCUAUGGCAACACAUAGACUGAAAAUUUGGCAAAUUUUACACAUAAACUGAAUCCAGUGAUAACUCAAAAAGUACUGGAAAUAUUUUUAUGAAACUUGACAUAUGGGUAGAUAGCAGUCUUGAGAUUAUGCAUGUCUUAUCUGUUCUUCCUAUUUUGAUAAAAUAUCAGUUGCCUUGGCAACAAAUAGGCUUAAAACAUGGCAAAUAUAACAAUAUUUGUGAUUAGUCAAAAAGAGCUGAAAAUUUUUAUGAAAUUGCAUCUUUAAUUCAAGAGUUAUCUCCUCUUUAAGAAUUUUGCUUUUAAAAUGUUAUAUUUUGGUAACAGGGAUGUUUCAAAUAUUAACUUUAGAGUGUCCUCAGUCCAUCUGUCUGUCUGUCUGUUCAUAAAAACUGUUUCCUGUGAUCACUUUUAAAGAACUUUUCAACAAAUUUACUUAAAAUAGAGAAAAAUUGAAACAUUAGUGAAUGGCCAAUGGCCCUUCAGAAUGUUGAUGGGGUUCUAACCAGUAGGGGACUUAUGGAUUGCUUGCAAUACUAUGAUAAUUGCUUGUUCAACUUAGAAAUUCAUGGUAAAGUUUUGCUUGUAAGCUGUUAUAUCAAUAUCUACUGAAGGGUUUGUGCCUUUUUUGGGACAAUUUUAUGCAUUCAUAAUAAUAAAGCACUGAUUUACUUGAUAAAACAUCUUAAUAACAAGCCUUUGUACCUUUUCUGUCAAAUUUAUGUAUUCAUAGGUAAUUAGUAUUAUUAUACUCAAUAAAACACCCUUGUGACAUUACCUUCCGAAUAGUCAAGCCAAUACUGUAUAAUUAGACUGUCUCUAAGGCCUAUAACAUGAAUUUAUAAAAAAAAUUAGCCCUUUUGUGAACUUAAAAAAUUUAACAUUAUCAAGGCUCUUUUACUAUCAAGCACUUAGAAUAGUCGAGCGUGCUGUCCUACCAUUUUUAGCUCGACUAUUCGCAGAAUAAUCGAGCUAAUGCAGUCACCCAUUUGUCGGCGUCGGCGUCCCUGUGGUUAAGUUUUUGUAUGUAAGCUGGUAUCUCUAUAACUACUGAAGGGAAUGGAUUGAAACUUCACACACUUGUUCUCUGUGAUUAUCUAAGAUGAUUGGCACAAGUCCCAUAACUCUGAUUUGCUUUUUUUCAUAAUUAUGCCCCUUUUUCGACUUAGAAAUUCUUGGUUAAGUUUUUGUGUGUAAGCUGGUAUCUCCUUAACUACUGAAGGGAAUGGAUUGAAACUUCACACACUUGUUCUCUGUGAUUAUCUAAGAUGAUUGGCACAAGUCCCAUAACUCUGAUUUGCUUUUUUUCAUAAUUAUGCCCCUUUUUCGACUUAGAAAUUCUUGGUUAAGUUUUUGUAUGUAAGCUGGUAUCUCCUUAACUACUGAAGGGAAUUGAUUGAAACUUCACACACUUGUUCUCUGUGAUUAUAUAAGAUGAUUAGCACAAGUCCCAUAACUCUGAUUUGCUUUUUUACAUAAUUGUGCCCCUUUUUCGACUUAGAAAUUCUUGGUUAAGUUUUUGCGUGUAAAUUAGCUGGUAUCUCCAUAACUACUGAAGGGAAUGGAUUGAAACUUCACACACUUGUUCUCUGUGAUUAUCUAAGAUAAUUGGCACAAGUCCCAUAACUCUGAUUUGCUUUUUUACAUAAUUAUGCCCCUUUUUCGACUUAGAAAUUCUUGGUUAAGUUUUUGCAUGUAAGCUGGUAUCUCCAUAACUACUGAAGGGAAUUGAAUGAAACUUCACACACUUGUUCUCUGUGAUUAUCUAAGAUGAUUGGCACAAGUCCCAUAACUCUAAUUUGCUUUUUAACAUAAUUAUGCCCCUUUUUCGACUUAGAAAUUCUUGUAUAAGUUUUUGCGUGUAAGCUGGUAUCUCCAUUACUACUAGAGGGAAUGGAUUGAAACUUCACACACUUGGUCUCUAUGAUUAUCUAAGAUGAUUGGUACAAGUCCCAUUACUCUGAUUUGCUUUUUUGCAUAAUUAUGCCCCUUUUUCGACUCAUGAAUUCUUGGUUAAGUUUUUGCAUGUAAGCUUGUAUCUCCAUAACUACUGAAGGGAAUGUAUUGAAACUUGAAGAGUUUGUACCUUUUCGGACAAUUUUAUGUAUUCAUAUAGGUAAGCAUUAUUAUACUCAAUGAAACACCCUUGUGACAAAUUUUCGAAUAGUCGAGCGUUACUGUCCUCCGACAGUUCUUGUUCUCAAAUGCAAUCUUGUUUCACUAUAUACCAUAUAAAUGUUGUCAGUGGGGGCAUUUGUGUCCUUUGGACACAGUUCUAGUUUAAACUACAUUUGAUUUGAAUUUGUGACAAGCAAUAUUGAUGUUUUAAUUUUUGUUUCUUUUAUUGUAUCAUUUAUUUGGCUAUAUUGUACAGUACUUUUGAAUGUGUCAAUGUGCAUGAAAAAAGUGCUUAAGAAGUUUGGUAUAUAAUAAUAAUAUACUAUACCUGUACCUAUACUUUUGACUGACUACCUUCAAGUAUUUAUCUUGACAUCCCUAAAAUUGAUAAUGGACAGUUCCAAAAAUGGAAGUUGGACAAGUCCAUUUAAGAAAUUCAGGAGUUAUAUUCAGCAUCUAAAUGAUAAUGGUGUGCUUAUGGGACAUUGGUACUCAGUACCAUAGCUAUAUUGUGGCACAUACUACAUGUUUGUAUUUUCAACAUUAUUUUGUUCAAAUAUGAAAUUAGGAGGGUUACGAGUAAUUUUCUACCAAAAGUUCUACUUAAUGAAGGAUUUUGCUUCUCUGAGCCACCACCUACCCCAAUUUUACUGCCAUAUUUUUUUUUAAUGAAUGACAAAAUAACAAGUAAGAAAUUGAGCAUAUUAGAUUUUAUCUAAUAUUCAUUUAGAAGAGUUGAGCAAGGAGAGAAAGCCCCCUUGAAAACUUACCGGUAGAUCAUCAUCAUUUCAUUAUUUAUUCAUAACAAUGUUUUUUACUGGCAGCGGGUAUAGGUUUAAAUGUUUCAACCAAUAUGUUUAAGUAUUCAUUUUGAAGCUGAAGAUACGAUGUGGAGUAUUAACAAAAACAUCGUGACACUUGAGAAGUCACGUCUUUUGUGACCAAGUAAUAAUAUAUUUUAAAAUUUUUUAAUGCUUCACGUUUUUAAUGAAAAAUAAAUUUUAAUCUUUGACUUCCACAAGCGUUUUGCGAUAGUAUUAAUGAAUUUAAUCACGCUAUAUUUGGUUACGGUACAGUCUUGUGCGGUUUUCAGGUCUGUGUUCUUGAAGGAAACGGACAUGCUUGUGCCAGUGACUUAUAACUUGAUAAGCAGCGGAACACUGAUGUAACUAAUAGUUGAUACAUCUGUUGAGCUACAACACUCUGCUGUUGAAUGCUUCAAAUUUUAAAUUUUAUAAAAUUUGUCCAAGAUUAUGGUAAGAGAUCAGCUAUUAUAUUGGGCUUCUCAUAUUUUUGUCUCCCCAGGAUUUGUUUACAAGUUUUAAUGAAUCAUCAUGGAACAGCUGGCCUUUGCAUGCUAAAUGUUUUUUUAGGCAGAAAAAAACAUAAAUUGAAGAGAGAGAAUCUUUUGCAAACAAUUUUAACGCCCUCCUAAAAAAAAUGAAAUAAAAUAAGAAUGAAUAACAAGGAAUGAUUUGAAAUUGACAACACUUUGUAAAAAGUUUGUUUACAUAACUUUUUUGUUUACACUCUUGACCUGAAGCUUAAUAUAAAUUACUAAAUACAAUCAUAUAUAAUAAGGCUGAUUUACUACAUUUAUAUACAAUGCAAUAUCAAUAAUCAAUGGUGCACAUCCGUCAGUACAUCCCGAAAUCUUGUGAACGCAGGUCCUCUUAAACUGGAUGGCAGAUUUUGCUUAAACUUACAGGGAUGAACAACCUUAAUGUGUAGAUGGUAGUAAAGGAGGGAAUUUUCACUGCGACCAAAUUUAACAGAAUUAUGGCCCUUUGUUGAUUUUUUCACUAUAUACUAUGGAAAAAUUUUGUGAACGCAACUUCUCUUAAACCGGAUGGCAGAUUUUGCUUAAACUUACAGGGAAGAACAACCUUAAUGUGUAGAUGGUAGUAAAGGAAGGAAUUUUUGCUGCGAUCAAAUUUAACAGAAUUAUGGCCAUUUGUUGAUUUUCACUAUAUACCAUAUAGAAAUUUUGUGAACACAACUCCUCUUAAACCGGAUGGCAGAUUUAGCUUAAACUUCCAGGGAUGAACAACCUUAAUGUGUAGAUGGUAGUAAAGGAAGGAAUUUUUGCUGCGACCAAAUUUAACAGAAUUAUGGCCCUUUGUUGAUUUUUCACUAUAUACUAUGUAGAAAUUUUGUGAACGCAACUCCUCUUUAACCGGAUGGCAGAUUUUGCUUAAACUUCCAGGGAUGAACAACCUUAAUGUGUAGACGGUAGUAAAGGAAGGAAGUUUUGCUGCGACCAAAUUUUACAGAAUUAUGGCCCUUUGUUGAUUUUUAGUUUUCAACUUGUGGCACAUACUGUCUAAAAAAUAUUUGACCUAGAGUCAUAUUGAGAUUGACAGAACAGUGGCGUGUGGGGGCAUCCGUGUCCUAUGGACACAUUUCUAGUUUUAUGAUUAUUUCUAAUAACUUACUGGGCACCAUACACACAAAAUUAUGUAUAUCUUUGUCAAUAAGACUUAUCUGAUAUCGAUUCAAAAAAGUGAAAAUCCAAAUUUGGUCAAGAAACCCCAUUUUUUGCAUUCCAUGACACAUAUGAAUAAGUAAUCAUACCUCAAAUCUGUGACUGUGAUUUACAAUGAAAUUCUACCUUCAGUGUAUUAAAAAGGUUUUUAAUUUCCUGUUAUUUAAUUUGUGUUUAUGCUUUAAAGCAGUCAAUUGACCGUGAAUUUUCUUUUCAUGUUUUAAUUUCCUUGAAAUCAUUUUUCUAAUCUGAAGGCAUGCUACUUUAAUAUGAUGAUGCAUUAAUUACAUUCCAUUGAAAUGUUUAAAGAUACAAAAUAUCUCAUGACAUGUUCAUUUUACAUUACACCUUUAAUGCAGCAAACUUAAAAAGUCUUAUGCAAUCGUACCUAUAUUACAUAGGAAUGUAUGUAAUAUUUUUCUUGUUUACCUAUAUAAAUUAAAAAAUCAAUAAUAAACACUUUUUUCUUUCCAAAUGGGACAUGAGAGAUACAUAAAUAUUUAGUUAAAAGAAAAAAAGAAAGACAAAAAAAAGUUUACCCUUUUGGGGAUUGAACCAACGGCCCUCAUUUUCAAUGUAGUUAACAGUAGUUCUAGCCUAUUUGAAUACUCUUCAAAGCGGAGGUAAUGCAUUAGGAUGGUAAUACCUUAACGGAAUGUUAAAGCCAAUUUGUGUCGACGAAAACGUCACAUUUGUGUUCUAGACAUUUCAGUGAAGAGUCAUUUGUUCAUCCACCAAGUAUAAUGAACUCAGUUGGUUUGACUUUGAAACUUCAGCUAGUAAAAGGUGCUGUUCCUACAAUUUUCCCUGAAAUUGAAGCGUUUAAAGACAGCAACAAACCUUCAUCAGUAAGCCACCUUGGGCCACCAAAGAGGAAAAGGACAUCCUAUGGAGGCUUUGAGAAAAGGAAUAGAAAAUCGUGUGUAGUCUCAGGAGCUACUUGAGAAAGAAGAGGAAGAGAGACAGCGAAUUGAAGAGGUGCUAAGUUCGGAAGUGGUUGAAGAGGGUUCAUUACCUGGUAGCAAUUCAAUUUCAUCAAUUGAGAUAUGUGGUAACACCACUUCCAGAGCCUGCCAGACAUCAGAGAUUUCAAAGAAAUGCUGUACAUUGGCUAUACACAUGCCAGGUUUGAAGACUUCAUGUAUAACUUGACAGGACCUGAUGUAAGCACAUUGGCCACUUUUGAUGGGUGUUGCAGGUAUAUCAUUACAAAUGCAUAUUGUCAGGUUCAAAACUGAUAUAUAAUAAUUAAAAAAGUUUAGGGUGCUGUUUCGAUUAACUUUUCGACUUUAUUUAGGGGCGGAAAUUUCUUCGCUCGGCACUAAUUUUUACCAUUUUGCUCAAAUAUUUAAAUAGAAUGUCACAAAUAAAUUGCUUCUUUGUCUGUUUCCUAUAUAAGAAUGUUUUGUGUUUCAUUUCCAGGCAUAGAUAGAAGCUAUCAUUUUA